GGUGGCCCAGCCUUCUUGGAGCUCAGCCUAAAAAAGGGAGGGAGAAGCAGGAAGGGUGUGGAAAAGCCAGGGUGGUCUGGAGCAAGGGAGAGCCAAGUAAAGGAGCCGAGCUGCCAGGUACCCCCAAACCCGGGAUUUCCCAGACCAGUGAGAGCUCCCUCCAAAUGGGAGGGAUUUGCAGAGCGAUCAACUUUGAAUUUUUGCCACAUUGGUAACGUUGCUGUCAUCUACACUCAUUUUGGGAAAGAAUUUAUGAACGGCAAAAAAUAAAAAUAGUAACAAUGUAUCUCGGAUAUUCUGAGAAGAAAGGAAACUCGGUUGGCAAUGUUAUAGCUAUACACACAAACACACAAGAGUUUACUAACCUUAUUUUUCUCAUUUUGCCACAGACCAGGUUUUCUAAACCAUGAAGUAGUGAAAUCAGAAGGCUUCUUAGAGGGCAGAAGUAUUUAAACUGAGCAGGAAUUAACUAGGAUUAGUAGGAUUUAGAGAUGGUAGGGGAAGAUUCUAGAUUAGAGAAUGAAAGUGUCUCGGUUACUUUGUUUCCUUAACAAAAUAGCUCCCUGUGCCUCAGAUGGUUUUGCUUUGAGAAAAGUCCUGGAAGGUUGGGCUGACUCCAACCUCAGGGACUUUGCACUUCCUGAAUCAUCUCUCCCCCAUAUCUUUGCAUAGCUGGCUCCUUCUUGUUUCAGGGCUCAGCUACAAUGUCCUCUGUUCAGAGACACCUUCCCUGAUCCCCAGCGUAGAGUGAUCUGCUUUCCCGGUCGUGAUGCAACCGCCCUGUUUUUGUUUUUUCUUCCUAGUUCUUAUUAGUGUAUGAAAUCAUCUCGAUUGUAUGUUUGUUUAGUCGUUAAACUCAGCCUUCCCCCCACCCCCAACCCCAAGACCUGCAUCCCAGGAGAGACGUCAUCUUGUCCGCAGCGUUCACAGACCCAUCGUGAGACCUGCCGGUUUGUGGGCAAAUGACCGAAUGGCCAUCUGUACCGUAGUCCAAGAGGACAUGCGGAGAGAAAACAACCCUGCUCGCUCAGGUGAGCAAUUGGGAACAGCGUCUCCAACAGGAACCCUGCACUCUCUACUAUGCCACCCUGCCUGAGACCUUUCUUAAGCCUUCUGAGAAAUGAUCAGCUGAGUUCAAACCAGAAUAACAGUAGUUCCUUGGCUCUUGAGGGCUGUGAUCCGCAGGGAAGGAAAAGAGGCCGGAGGACUCUGGUGUUAAGGCACAAUCGGUAUGGGUGUGCAGGAGCCCACUUCAGGAUUUUCUCAGCAUAAGUCGGCAGCCAUUCAUUUCGCGUCUCCAGCCCCAGGACCCGGGGCUGCCGCUCUUUGGCCCCUCCAUGAGGGGGUGGCGGUGAGAGCGGGAACAGGACCAUUCCUAGUGCCCUCCGACCUGGAUGUCCUGGAUGCCAGCAAGGAUUCAGGCCCAUGCCAGCUGGGGCAGUGGUUUUGUGACCACACCCCUGAGUCCGGAAUGCUUUGUGAUGCCUCUCAGCUCCUGCGUGCCCACUGGCAGAAAGCAGGAGCUGGGCCUCCUUGGCUCUCUGACCUGGGGUAUGUAUGUAAUCUCCCUUUCUGGGGCUCAGUUUCCCCUUCUGCACAACAGCGGAUUUAGGCAGGAAGAUUUCAAAAGUAUCCGCCCAUUUUGGUUUUUAUCCUCUGAGUGUUGGAAACAAAAUUUCAAUGAAGCUGACUUUGCCUACAGCCCCUCCAGACACCUCUCCUCUCAGCGGCCCUGCAUCCCCUUCAGGAGUGGUAAAUGCUACUCCAGCAUCUGAAGAGUUGAGGUCAAGCCUCUGACACAGCCUCGCACUAUGACCUUGAGGAGCCCGCCGACCUCCAUAGGGCUUCCAUUUCCCAGUAUCCGAAACGAUGCAGAGACAAUGGCCUUGUCCUGCUCAUCUGUCAGUUAUAUUAAGGGCUGAACAAAGUCAGACGUAUGAUGUCCUCUGUAGACUCUAUACGCAUGUAAAUGUCAAGUCUCAUUACCCUUUUUUCAAACUCA